AAACAUACAAGACGUGUUUAAUACAAGAUGUUCAAAGCGAGUGUGAUACAACAUAAAAUGAUUACUUGUGGCUCCCAUAUUUCAUUUUUAAGAUUCAAAACAUCUCCCAUAUUUCAUUUUUACUUGUGGCUCGUUUGGAUAUGAAAUUAGUUGUUAAUCUUGAUUUGUUUGUAGACGCUCCAGAGGGGUUAGGAAAUACCUCAAGAUGAAGUCUUCAAGAUUACUCACACGAGGAAGGCGAAGAACGCUGAUGGUACGGACCAAUGGAUUGAGCCUAGGGCUCAGCAAACCUAUACCGAGUUUCAACAACACAAGUUGGAAUAUUGGUGCCAGAUCGACCAAAUGACGUCGAUGACCAACGAGAUAAUUGAUCAGCAGUGGAUGGAGAAGGUAGCUCCCCCGACAAGGUAUGGGACAGUUUAUGGGAUGCCUAAUCGAGCAUGUCGUCAAUUUCCGUCGUUCCUUUGAGGUGUAGGUGCGACUUCUGAAGGGGCAGUGGAUCCUAAGGAGUACCAAGAAAUGAAGCAGAAAGUUACUCAACUAACAAGUACACUUAGUGCCACGGAGGCAAGGAUGUUGCAUAAGCAGGCCCAAAUAGACAGCUUACUCAAUUCGGGCCCCUCUAAUAUUCCCCCGUGUCCCAGGGAUGCUCGUAGGUCACAACCCAGUAGACGAUGUAGGUCACAGGCCAAUGUAGUUCAUGCUCUUGUUGAUGAGGAUAGUGGGGAGGAAUCAGAUCAUGUCUCUAACACCCAACGUUGACUUUUUUGAUUCGUAUACUUUUGGAUUGUAAUAUUGCUAUGUUUUCUUGGAUAUGUAUAUGAUAUUUGAUUGUAGUUUUAAUUCGAAUUAGAUGUACUUUUGAAGGUGAA